rnacentral:rRNA from 1 species
CAGGUAGUUGGUGGGGUAACGGCCUACCAAGCCAUCGAUCCGUAGCUGGUCUGAGAGGAUGAUCAGCCACACUGGGACUGAGAUACGGCCCAGACUCCUACGGGAGGCAGCAGUGGGGAAUAUUGGACAAUGGGGGCAACCCUGAUCCAGCAAUGCCGCGUGAGUGAUGAAGGCCUUCGGGUUGUAAAGCUCUUUCGGCGGGGAAGAUGAUGACGGUACCCGCAGAAGAAGCCCCGGCUAACUUCGUGCCAGCAGCCGCGGUAAUACGAAGGGGGCUAGCGUUGUUCGGAAUUACUGGGCGUAAAGGGCGCGUAGGCGGUGCUGUAAGUCAGGCGUGAAAUCCCCGGGCUCAACCUGGGAAUUGCGCAUGAUACUGCGGCGCUGGAAUGCGGGAGAGGAUGGCGGAAUUCCCAGUGUAGAGGUGAAAUUCGUAGAUAUUUGGAAGAACACCGGUGGCGAAGGCGGCCAUCUGGCCCGUGAUUGACGC